GACGAACGCUGGCGGCGUGCCUAAUACAUGCAAGUCGAGCGAAUGACGAGAAGCUUGCUUCUCUGAUUUAGCGGCGGACGGGUGCGUAACACGUGGGCAACCUGCCCUACAGAUCGGGAUAACUCAGGGAAACCUGGGCUAAUACCGGACAAUCCUUCGAAUCACAUGUUUUGAAGUUGAAAGGCGCUUCGGCGUCACUGUAGGAUGGUCCCGCGGUGCAUUAGCUAGUUGGUGGGGUAACGGCCUACCAAGGCAACGAUGCAUAGCCGACCUGAGAGGGUGAUCGGCCACAUUGGGACUGAGACACGGCCCAAACUCCUACGGGAGGCAGCAGUAGGGAAUCUUCCACAAUGGACGAAAGUCUGAUGGAGCAACGCCGCGUGAGUGAUGAAGGUUUUCGGAUCGUAAAACUCUGUUGUAAGGGAAGAACAAGUACGUUAGGAAAUGAACGUACCUUGACGGUACCUUAUUAGAAAGCCACGGCUAACUACGUGCCAGCCGCCGCAGUAA
rnacentral:rRNA from 1 species